UACGAGGGGGGCGGAGCGUUGUUCGGAAUUAUUGGCGUAAAGGGCUCGUAGGCGGUCUGUCGCGUCGGGAGUGAAAACUCAGGGCUUAACCCUGAGCCUGCUUCCGAUACGGGCAGACUAGAGGUAUGCAGGGGAGAACGGAAUUCCUGGUGUAGCGGUGAAAUGCGCAGAUAUCAGGAGGAACACCGAUGGCGAAGGCAGGUCUCUGGGCAUUAACUGACGCUGAGGAGCGAAAGCAUGGGGAGCGAACAGG
rnacentral:rRNA from 1 species